CAGAGGGGAAGCACAAGGAGGCAGGAAGGAAAGGCUCUGAGAAAAAGCACUCUCAGGGCUCCUGUCUGCCUCUGUCAGGGAGAAGAUAAAGACUGAAGAGAAUACAAUAGGAAGGAGUCUGUCUCUCUGAGCAAGAUUAUUUACUCUAACCCUAGCUGAUGCUUUGUGGGUAGCUGUCACAAUGCAGAUGCGUCUGGGAUCAGGUUGUAAUAGGAAUUAGAACAUGAGCACAUUUGCAACAAGGGCUUGGUGGUCAAGUGUUACGUGUUUUUUAAUAAGCUUGCUUAUGUUUUAUACUCCUAACCAGGAAAUCCUUGGAAUUUCUGCUCUGUGGAUUCAAUAAGGAAUCAGCUGGGAGUCAGGGGGAGAAGUGAUGCUGAGCCUGAAUGCUUUCCAGCAGCCUGCUCUAACGUUUUGACAGCGUGUGCUCACAGCACAGAGCAGCCAUAGGAAAUGAAAGCUGACAGUAUUGAGUUCAGCACAAAGGCGGAGGUUAGAGGAGAAAGGCUGAACAUUUGCCUUCGUGUUCCUCAGUCCUGCCAGUGAACACCUGUGGCUCCUGAGCAUUUACAGAGUUUGACAGCCCAUGCUCUUGAAUAAGCAGCCUCUUGCAUAAGGGCUCAGACGUGCAAAGAAGAAAGUCCUUGCUGAUAAGGUCUGCACUUUCAACAGCUAUUUCUGGGGCAAGGUGUUGGGAAAGCAGGAGCCGUAGGGGAUGUGGGAAAUCAGAGAUGCCAGUCAUUGGUCCAUGAUCACUGAGCUGUACCACAGCACAGUCGCUUAGGAUCAGUGGGGAGGUGAAGAUCUCUGCUGCAGCUCAGCUAUUAUCCAUCAUUGAAACGGGAGGAGAAAGGGAAUUGUUAGUUAAAUGGUUAAUAGCUGCCUUCUCCCUGCUUUUCGUUCUGCCCUCUAGCUAGAUGUAAGUAGCUACAACUCCAGCACUGAAGCCUGAUGAAAGAAAGUGAGUAUGAGUCAGAGGCAACCUGCACAUUUCCCCCUUUUUUUGUGCUUUCCUAGAAGUCUUCCCCACUGGCAACAAAUCCUUGUACUUUUUCCCACCAUCCUCCCUAUCUCAAUGCCAGACCCGGUGUCUGAUAUUCAACUGUCUCUUGCUAAGGCCGGCAGAGGCAGUGUCACUCAGUCCGAUGUCUCCAGGUUGCUGCCCUGCUGAUGUGAUUGUCACUGACGUGGGAGCUGUUUGCCUAGCAGCCUGUGAGGGGACUGCUGGUGCUCGCUGUUGGGGUAUGCGAUGACUGCCCACAGUGUCAGUGGUACCAAGGAGAACUCUCUGCUCAUGCAUCAGCAGAGGCUCCUCAGGACAUCUGCAGCACUGACACUGCCAGAAGGCGCCUUGGAGUCUUUGCAUCAUGGAUUACAAACAUGAUUUUUCCACUCCUUGAUCUAGGGACAAGAUAGUGUUUCAUUGAGCUCUGCAGAUCCAGCCCAAAUGGGGAGAAUCGGUAGGAAAGGGGAAGAGAUGGGAGGUCACCACCUCUGUCAGCUUUGCCUCCUGAGGGGCAUCUCUUUCGGGUGCUCCUCUCUGGCCUGUGUAAGGUUUAAUGGCAGCAGCUGCUGCUUUAUAAGCAGAUCCUGCCUAGGAUGGUCCCAUCCUGUGGGAAUUGCUCUCUCUGGAAGUGUUUCAGCCUGGUUCUUGUCCUGUGCUUGGUCACAGCAAAAAUACCAAGCUUAGACUUUAGGCUGGGCAGUAAAUGCUGGAGCUGCACCCCUGGCUGCCUCUGCUCCUUCCCCUUCAAAAGGUCUCUCGCUCUUCAAAACUCACCCUUGGGCAGGAGCUUGUCUCCAUCAGUUCCCUCCCCAGUUACAAACCCAGGGUCAUAAAUGGGAAGACUGGUUAAAACUUGGAAGAAGGAUUUACUUGUUCCCUUUGAUCGCCUCAAUACCAGCCUCUGUGCAAGCCUAAUGUGGCAACCCCCUUCCUGAGAGUGUAAUUGACCGUCAUAAUUGCGGGGUUUCAUUCUCCUCUGGAGUUUCCCCUUAAGGGGCAGAUGAGGAUCGCAGUCUUGGAGAGCAUCUCUCAUUCUGCAUAAAACUGCACCGAGGAGCUGGACAUAAACAGCCAGCCCUGGAGUUUUCCUCCCACAGAUGCUCUGUAGCUCCCUAGACCUCUCUUGCUCUGAUGACCCCUUCACCCUUGGGAGUGUUUUGGCUGGAGGAAGCAGCAGAUAAAAUCCUGAAGCUAACAGCAGUGCUGUGGAUGUGUCGGGAGAGAUUGGGCUCUCUUGGUGCAGAUGAUUAUGGAGUGAGAUCAGCUGCUGACAGAAGCUCGGGGGAACGUGUUCAGGAAUCAGCACAUAAUCUCUGCCGCUGCCUCAUUUUUUUGUGUCCGUUUCUGGAGGACAAUGAAAUCGCACUGAGUUUCUGCAGCAGUGGCUACAGAUGGAGUUUGCAGCCAUAUAAGUACAAAGUAUUGCCCUUAUAAAUGAUUUAAUCGCUUUUCCUCCAUGAGAACUGACCCGUCAACCCCCAAAGAACAAAAAGAACGUUUUCUCUCAAAUGCAGUUCAGCAUUAUCAGAUGUAUGACACAGAGAUCCCAGUGGGCCUGCUUGGUCUGUUUGUGCCUGUUUUACUGAAGGGAUGGCCAUAAGAGUGAAUCCCUGAGUUACAUCACAACAACCAGAAUCUGAGCCAACCCUCUCGUCCCUGUUCUGAUGGAUUUAUUCCAGACCAGAGGAAGUCUCACCAUCUCCAACCUUCCUGACUUGCAACCAAGACUGUGGCCAUCUCCAAACAGUGUUUUUUGUCCCGUUUGAAGGCAGGAGGUACCAUUUGGGACCAUUUGGUUUCCUGUUGCACCCUUUGCCAUGAGGACAGGAUGGUUUCCAGUUAGGGUUCUUUAUAGUCUGGAAAAACAUUAUAAACUUUUAGCAGACCCAUAAAUAUCAGCUCUGUGGCAUCAUGUGUUGUGGUUGGCUACGCAGUCACCUCUUCCUCAUAAGUCCUUGAAACUAUAAAUAGAGGAAAGUGUUGGGAAUGGCCAAUUUGAGCAUUGAGAAAAGGCUGAACAAUGCUGUGACUUCCAGAGAUCUCACCCAAAGGCAAGGAUGGAUCAGGGCUGACUUCUUACCAAGUGAUUUCUCCCUGAUGGAAAGGACUGGCAAGGCGGGAUCAUCUUUGCCUUUUGCAUCAGGAAUGUGGUCUGUCUUAUGUCUGAGGAGCAAAGGAGUGAUCUGGGGGCAACUGUAAUUGCAUUUUUGGAGUGAGUUCUUGGUCAGAUUUUAACACUGUGACAUUAUGCUUCUUGUGAUGAGUGUAAUUAAAAUAAAGUCAAAAUAACAUCUUUAAGCCUGUGGCCAAGCCAAAGAGUCAGGGAUGGGUUGAGCUCCAAGGAAGAGGGUGGAAAAGAGAAGAGGGCGCAAGGGACAAGCGGAUUGUUUUGAAAGACAACUAUGAAGGAGGAGAAAAGAAAACAAGAAGGCAGAGUAAGAAAAGCCAGAGGCUACCCAUAGGGAUAAUGGCACUUUUGUUCAUUCCAAACUUAUCGCAAUUUCUAGAUCCUGAUA